AGGAGAGUUUGAUCCUGGCUCAGAACGAACGCUGGCGGCGCGUCUUAAGCAUGCAAGUCGAGCGGUAAGAUUGGUGCUUGCACUAAUCCUAGAGCGGCGGACUGGUGAGUAACGCGUGGGUGACGUACCUUUGUGACGGGGGCAGCUCCUAGAAAUAGGAGAUAAUACCGGAUACGCUGCAUGUUGUCAGAGGACAUGCAGGAAAGGAACUUUUGUUCCGCAUAAGGAGCGGCCCGCGUACUAUUAGCUAGUUGGUGAGGUAACGGCCCACCAAGGCGACGAUAGUUACCCGGCCUAAGAGGGUGAUCGGGCACAUUGGGACUGAGAUACGGCCCAGACUCCUACGGGAGGCAGCAGCUAAGAAUAUUCCGCAAUGGACGAAAGUCUGACGGAGCGACGCCGCGUGGAUGAUGAAGGCCGGAAGGUUGUAAAAUCCUUUUAUGACUGAGGAAUAAGCAUUGUGAGAGAAACGCAAUGUGGUGACUGUAGGUCAUGAAUAAGCAACGGCUAAUUACGUGCCAGCAGCCGCGGUAACACGUAAGUUGCGAGCGUUGUUCGGAAUUAUUGGGCGUAAAGGGCAUGUAGGCGGUUCUGCAAGUCUGGUGUGAAAUACCGGGGCUCAACCCCGGAACUGCGUUGGAAACUGCGGAACUGGAGUCGCUGAGGGGCAGCCAGAAUUCCAGGUGUAGGGGUGAAAUCUGUAGAUAUCUGGAAGAAUACCAAUGGCGAAGGCAGGCUGCCAGCAGAUGACUGACGCUGAGGUGCGAAGGUGCGGGGAGCAAACAGGAUUAGAUACCCUGGUAGUCCCCU
rnacentral:rRNA from 1 species